rnacentral:rRNA from 1 species
CCCUUAGAUGUUCUGGGCUGCACGCGCGCUACACUGAAGCGUUCAACGAGUAUUCACCUUGCCCGGGAGGGUUGGGUAAUCUUUUGAAAACGCUUCGUGAUGGGGAUAGAUUAUUGCAAUUAUUAAUCUUGAACGAGGAAUUCCUAGUAAACGCAAAUCAUCAAUUUGCAUUGAUUACGUCCCUGCCCUUUGUACACACCGCCCGUCGCACCUACCGAUUGAAUGGUCCGGUGAAGCCUCGGGAUUGUGGCCAGUUCACUUUAUUGGGAGUUGGCUGCGAGAACUUGUCUAAACCUUAUCAUUUAGAGGAAGGUGAAGUCGUAACA